GAGUUGGUCCCGGGACUUGGUUGUGGCUGAUGAUAUUAGCUAGUUGUGCGUUAUGGCGUUCUCUUCCAAUUCGUCGUGCCAGCCUUCGUUAAAACCAUGGUGCCGUUACUUCAGCAUGUCGGGGAACGCGCAAAUGUGUGAAUGAACGUACAGAGGGAGAUUCACUUCACACUUAUAACAUCGCAGCACGUGGGGCCUUUCCGGCUUCACCGGGGACAUCGCGCCUAUGACACCGACACGAUAUGCUACGUGUGAAAGCAGCGGAAAAUGGCGCUAUCUCGACUAUUCUCUCGUACGUCAUUAUGUCUCACCUCGGAGGAGAUGAUUACAUGAUUCCAGAACGUGUCACACAAUUCAUUAACAAACUACGUCGCCUUGGUUUCCUUUUUCACUCUGCAUCCAAAUCACUUUCCACCGAACUCUCAAUUGGACAAGAUGUAAAAUCUGUUCCUGUGGGCAAAAGACCCUCACAACAGAAUUUAUUCUCCUUCGAUGAUGAUUUCUCGUGCGCUAACUUUACCUUGAACGAGGAAAAUUGUGAAUCCUGUUCUGAAACGAACUGUUUCAUUCCAAGCUUGCGGCAAAGAGGUUUUGCGAACGACAGCGACGACUAAUGAACGAGGCGGUGAAGGCGCUCUCGAUGACUCCUACUGUCAUCAACUGAUGUCAAUCAAGCAGGAGAGUAAGGAGAGGCGGCGAGGCUCAGUAGUAACACUAACUAUCGACAAAUAGAGUGGUCCCCUUGUCAUGGAAGUGUGAUGUAAAACAACCCGUUUCGUGAACUUUUGAAGAUGUCACGUUUGAUGUGUCGAUGGCUUGAUUGAAACUUUAGUGGACGGCGUUUAGAUUCGAGUUGUUUUUGAAUUGUGAAUCAUGGUAGAUGGGAGUCCCAAGUUGUAGAAGGCGUUCAUGAUAUUCAUUCGGGGAUCUAGGCGAAACAUUUCAAAUUCGGGUCCAAGGAUGUAUAUACAUUUUGUAGUUAAACAAAGAUACAAUUAUAUUCGAUAGAUUCCAUCUGUUUCAUUAACUUUAGCGGAAAUGAACGUGAAGACAUUUGGAAAUAUGAUUUUAACGAAGCAAAGCUGAGAAAUCAUUAUGAAGGAAAAGGAAAAAUACAUAGAGCUCAAGCUUAUCGGACAUGGUGGUGGCGAGCUGUCAUCGGGCAGCGAACCCCCAAGCAUUGACUCCAGCCCGGACCACCAGGCCCUAGUCUCCGCACCGACUAGCACCAAUGGGGCACCGCCGGGCAUAAUCAAUCUACCAGAGGCGUGUUCGGUUGAAAUGAUUCAGGAGAAGGAUGGGAAGGAAGACGAGAUAGCGAUGACAACCCCGGGCAGGGAGACCUGGGGCAAGAAAAUUGACUUUUUACUCUCUAUUAUCGGCUUUGCUGUGGAUUUAGCAAAUGUAUGGAGAUUCCCCUAUCUUUGUUACAAGAAUGGUGGAGGUGCCUUUUUAAUCCCAUAUUUUACAAUGCUAUUAUUUGGUGCUGUGCCUCUGUUCUACAUGGAGCUUGUCUUGGGUCAAUUCCACAGAGAGGGUGCCAUCACCGUAUGGAAGAUAGCGCCAUUUUUCAAAGGUGUAGGAUAUGCACAAUGUCUGAUGGCGUUUUACGUCGCCCUCUACUACAAUGUGAUUAUAGGAUGGUCCUUCUACUACUUGUUUUCCUCCUUCACUUCCGUGCUACCUUGGACCACGUGCAACAACACGUGGAACACGGAACAUUGCUGGGAUGGCACUGGCAAUUACACUAACCUCACAUUGUCGAAUGACACGAAACGAAUAUCUGCUGCUACUGAGUUUUUUGAGAGACAGGUGCUUAGCAUUCAUAAAAGUUCUGGAAUGGAUGACCUGGGCAUGCCACGGUGGGAAUUGGUGUUGACCACGCUACUGGUAUUUUGCUUGCUAUACUUUUCGUUGUGGAAAGGAGUGAAAUCGUCUGGCAAGGUUGUGUGGGUAACAGCGACCAUGCCCUACAUCGUCCUCGGCAUACUCCUCAUCCGUGGUUCAAUGCUCCCGGGGGCUGGCGAUGGCAUAUACUUCUUCAUUACGCCUGAUCUAAGUCGACUCAAGGACACAGAGGUGUGGAUAGAUGCGGCAGUUCAAAUCUUCUACUCCGUUGGCGCGGGAUUCGGUGUACAUAUAGCGUAUGCUAGCUACAACAAAUUCUCAAAUAACUGCUACAGAGAUUGCAUGCUGACUGCGUGCGUGAAUAGCGUGACCAGCAUCUUCUCCGGGUUCGUCAUCUUUAGCUACCUUGGAUACAUGUCGCAGAAACAGUCGGUGCCCAUCCAGCAAGUCGCCAAAGAAGGUCCUGGUCUAGUCUUCAUUGUCUACCCAGAGGCUAUUGCAACUCUACCAGGCUCUACUUUCUGGUCGAUUAUAUUCUUCCUGAUGUUGAUAACACUGGGACUGGACAGCGCCAUGGGUGGCCUCGAAUCCAUCUUAACUGGCCUAAAAGACGAAUACAGGUGGAUUUUCGACAAGCAUCGAUAUAGCAGAGAGAUAUUCGUAGGAGGUGUCGUCAUAUUUGCAUUCCUUUUGUCGAUUGUGAAUGUCACAUACGGUGGAAUGUAUGUCUUCACACUGAUGGAUUCAUUCAGCGCAGGGACAUCCAUUUUAUUCACAGUGUUCAUCCAAUCAAUAGCGAUCUCUUGGUUUUAUGGUCUGAACCAGUUCUGCGACGACGUCAAGACGAUGUUGGGAUUCAAGCCUGGUAUUUACUGGAGAAUAUGUUGGAAGAUUGCCAGCCCUCUCUUCAUACUGACUAUUGUGGUAUCAAGCGUGGCAUCUUUUAAAGGCCUUGAAUACGAAAUGUCUACCCAUGUCUACACUUACCCGGGCUGGGCGAACAUCCUAGGCUGGAUGCUCACAUUAUCAUCUAUGAUCUGUAUACCGCUUAUAGCCAUCUAUAAAAUGGUAGCAACGAAAGGGACGUUAUCGAGGAGAUUCGCCUUGUGUAUAUCGCCGCAAAACGAGCAUAAGCAUAUAUCAAAUGAUGAGCCGGUCAAGAGAUAUCAGCGUCGGCAUUGGUUGACUCUUGGCUAGACUGUGCGUGGGACAAUCAUACACGAAAGACAUUGCCAACCGUUUGACCGUAAAUCGUCAAGUCUCAGGUGCGUUUAUGAAAGCUUGGACAUCGCCAUCGAGUGUCUUAAGCCUGUUUCUGGUUCUGCGUGGGGGUGCGAAUGACUUUGCAAAGGUCAUACAGACAGCUAUAGACUGUUCCUCUGAUCUGGCAUGGCGUGUAUGAUGGAUACGAGUGGCUGACUGCUGACCGCGCCCGGCCGUUGACCUUAUACAUAGUGAAAUUACGUAUUCAUUUCCAAAAUAAUUGGUAAAAACUUUGUUAGUGGUUGUUCUAUGUUCUUAGCGGGAAGAGGCGGGUCAUCGCAGAAGAAACGUGUCUUCAUGCCGAUUAAGGACGAAAAGUGGUGUCCGAAAACCUAUUACCCCCGCUCAAAAAGUCAAAAUCGGCUCGUGAGUUCAUCCUGACAUUCAGGUUGGGAGUUCUCGCAUUUGCUUUGAGAGACUGAAAACCAUUAUUUCAUUGCCGAAAAAAACGUUAAACAUUUUCAAAAGCUCAACCGUGGAUAUGUCAGACUGGAAGAGGCCGACGAUUGUGUCGUCUGAGGUAUUGGGAUGUGCCUUUGUCAGCGCUUUGGAUGGCUGUCGGUGAGUAAGUGGAUUGAUUCACCAAAUGAGUUGUUUAUCCUGUUUUGAAUCGGCGGGAGAGUGCGGAUUCGAUGGGAGGUCCCAUUAAAUAUACUCAUUCUGGUCUUUACGAAGCUUUGGCCUGUGCGCAGAGCUUGGUUGGGCGGAAGUGAGGAAAGAGUGUUGUUGAACGUCACCGCGGUGAUGGCUGAAUUAAGUCAAGCAGUUCUGAGGCCAAUCUCGUCAUCCUAUUUUGGCGUUUCGGGGGCUUUGCGAAAACUACCUUAAUCGAUUAUUUUACAUUUAUAACUCUAUGCUACGCAAUUUGGAUUAUAUGUCCAUCCUAAUUUAACAUUAGUCAAACAUAACAAAAUCGUGCCUAACGAGUGUCGUCUUGAGAAAUUGCAUUUAAAUACACUAUAUAUUAUUGUUUUAUUAAAUGUAUAUAAACGUUUUCAUGUUUAGAGCUAAAACUCGCUUUCACUUGGAACAGUAAAACAGUACCAAUAAAACAGGAUCUGAAAAUCCCCCACUAAAUGCGCGAAAUUAUAACUCUGCAUGCUCUUUGUUCUGAAUGUACUAUAAAAUGUAUCUAUAUGAAAUAAUUAUGUAUCACUUAUUGUCACUAGCUUGGAAUAGGAAUAUGUAAGUUGACUCAAAUCUUAAUUAUUGUAAACGUAAAUGUUAUUGUAUAAAAUUUCCCAUGGUUGGCAUCAGUUCACAUUGACCGAAACUUAUAAUCUCAGACCGCUAAGUAUCCACACUACACAUGGUCGUUCGAUGCUCUCCCCAACGUUUCAAUUUAGAUAGACAAUGCACUCUUAGAAACAAGGGCUCUUGAGAGUGUGGGUUGGUAACACCAAGCUACCAUGACAUGUUUUAAUGAGGCCUUUGUCUCGACUUUUGGAGUAAUCAAUAAAGUGGUCUUAUAUCAGCCGAACUAUAUAUAAAUGACUAGGGUGGACCAGGGUCUCAAAAUUCUUUUAAGAAAAUUUCAUUGACUUCCACAUGGGGCAGCGAAGGUGAUAGAAAGUCUCAUCGAGGAAAAUGAAAAUGAUUUUGUCACCAAACCGGGAACCAAAUAUGAAAAAGAAACAUCUUUGAAGAGGAUGAAUAUGCCGACCUCCGAAGGCCU